UUCUCUCAUCGAUGUUUCUAACUCUCUAUCCCUCUCCCUUCCUCUCUGUAAAAAAUAAAUAAAAAAUAUAUUUUUAAAAAUCUAUGAACAGGUGACCUGGCUUCGUAGAUAUAACCAAGAAACAGAGUCCAUGGUCAUCUGGAAUGUGAUUUAAAAGGCUCUCCCUUCUUUCACCUGCUCUGUCCACUCCUUGGCCCAUUAAUAACUAUUCUCCUCUUAUUAUUUGUAACAUGCCUCCUUAAUCUGCUCAGUAAAUUUAUAUGUUCUAGGUGACGACAGUGUCAUGUAAAGAUGAUGACACUGCAAGGAUUCCAGCCCAGACCUCGACAUCCAGGGGAUAUGGAGCUCGGACCCUUAGUUCAGGCAUAAAGAGAUUUUGAUCCCAGGCUAGGCAGGGAUCGUCCAGUCUCAGCCUGAAGCAACUACAGACUGACCAGCAACCCUCAUCUUCCCAAAUGACUGUGGGAUUGAAAUCUCACAAGGGGGUUUAUGAAGCAGGAAAGUUAGGAAGGGAGUAAAGGCCUCAAUCUCUACCCCUCCCCUUUUCCAUCCUUGCUGGACAUCGCAGACCUGACUUACUGACCACCUGUUCCCUGCUCCUUCUCCCCAAUUUCCUGUAGUUGAGACAAAAACCAGUCUCCAUCAGAUUUGGCAGCCAUAUUGACCUAAGUGUGUAACAGGGCCUUAUAUCUUUAUAAUACAUUUGUGUGCAAUUUCAGAACACACCCGCCUGCCCCCAAUCACCAUGGCAAUUCCGGGAGGACCAAACAGAAAUCACUAUCUGGAGAAGAGGGUUCAAGUUGGCAGUCACCCCACCAGCAUCAGAAGCGAAGGACCACACUAUCCUCCUUCCCCUUUGCCUACAUUUAAUAAAAGCCUUCCGCCCAGCCCAGCCAGUGUUGCUCAGUGGGUCAAAUCAAUUAAGAAGAUGUUCUGUGUACACUGAAAAGGAAAAUCCCUUUGAGAUUGGGACUGAUCAGAUUUUGUGUCCUGUGUUUACUUUGACCCAUAGCUGCCGUUGUAGAACUAAAGCUGCAAGCUUUCUG